UUCAGACCUGAGCUUCACUGGGCGGAGUACAGACGCUUUUCUUUUUGCUCCCUUAUCUUUUUUUCCCAAGGCUCUUUGGCUGUGUCUCAAUUCAGGGUCUGCAUCCUACGUCGGCCGGAUUCGUCGGCCGGUUACGUCACAGCGCCGCGACUAGGCCUGUCCCAAUUCGAAGACUCCUUCAAAUGCGGUCGACGAAUGCGGCCUUCUUUUUGCCUGAAUGAAGGAUGGGUCGGGUGUAUCCUUCAACAGGAACAAAAGAGAAAACCAGGGAAUUUAUUAAGCUUAGGGCGGAGAUGGACCACAUGAUCACCGGAGCAAAGUAUUCGGCGGCUGUGGCAUGGAGACUAUUCUGGAGAAAAUGGGCAUCCAGGGGAAGGUGCCAGCGAUGACCAGCUUCUGGAGCUGAUCUGGGAGGACACGAGGCCGCAGAGGGAGGCAGAGCAGCAGAGGGCCCAGGAGAGAAGGAAGAACUUUGACAGCUUUUUACUUUGCUAGAAAAAAAUGGUUAAGGAAGAUUAAACAUGUACAUAUAAAAGAAAUAUAUAAAUAAAAUCAGUUCUGAAUCUCUUGAAUUUUAUUUUUGUUUACAAAUGAGAAUUGUUUACUAGAGGGUAUCCGCUGGGUCUUGAAAAGUCUUAAAAGGUGAUAAAUCGGUUUUGGUCAAAUUAAGACCCUUAGAAAGUAUUAAAAACUAUUAUCACAUCUUUGCUCAUGCUCAGCUUGUCUAAAGUAUUUUCUUUGAAUUAGCUCUCCAACAGUCAAGGAAAUGAUUAAGCCCCAGAGACCCACGGUUGUAAUAUUACAUCAGAUUUAAGUCUACAAGAAUAAACCUUCCCCAUUUUUUUUCUUUUUAAAACCACAUUUACAUUGCUAAUAGGUCCUAUUGUUCAGUUCUGCAACACUAUUGGCUGUUAAAAUGUGUAAAUAGGCCCAUUUAUCUGGCCUCCUAGAACAACAUGUGAAAGGUUAAAAAAAGAUUUUGCAGUUGUUUUCUAAAUUUGGGUUUCUGGGGGUUAAAAAGCUAAAUAAAACGUCGAGCUCCAUCGUUUAAAGUUCCUUCUGCCCAGCGGUUCCACGGUUGCUAGGCGACUGAACGUUCGCCGAGGGAGUUCAUGAAGGCUAGGCCUGUCCAAUUCACAGCCGUUAACAUACGGUCUACCCGGCCGACGGAGGACGCAGCCCACGUCGGCCGGGUGGGCUGGGUCCUUCGAAGGAUGCAGA